rnacentral:rRNA from 1 species
CGUAGGUAACCUGCCUGGUAGCGGGGGAUAACUAUUGGAAACGAUAGCUAAUACCGCAUAAGAGUAGAUGUCGCAUGACAUUUGCUUGAAAGGUGCAAUUGCAUCACUACCAGAUGGACCUGCGUUGUAUUAGCUAGUUGGUGGGGUAACGGCUCACCAAGGCGACGAUACAUAGCCGACCUGAGAGGGUGAUCGGCCACACUGGGACUGAGACACGGCCCAG